CAAGAAUUCAGAUGAAGGACAGUUUACAAAGGACAAGAAUUGGAACAUGAACUUACUGGGAAUUCUUCUGACUUUCAUCCUCACCAUUCUAGCACUUGCCACCAUAGUAGCUCUACUCCUGAAAUAUAUACAACGCAAGAAAAACUUGUUUGGACCUUGCAAUGCAGAACAACAAGAAUGUCUUCUGCAUUGCCAGGAACAGAGAGCUCUAUGUGACAGUUCCAUCUGCCCGACAGAGACCAGUUUUCUCCAACAACUGGCAUCCUUACCACAAGCACAAUCUACGAAGUCCCUCUACCUUCCAAGUGACACAGGAAUGUUUAGAAGAUCAGUAUCACCAGUGAGAACUGAAGAAUUCCAAAAUCUAUCACAGAAGACACAAAAAUGCAUAUGUAUUUCUCAAGGAACCAUGACUCUGCCUUAUGGAGCCAUUGUUCUACCUCCAGGAACUAUUACUAUUCCUCAUAGAACCUUUGCUUUUCCUCAGGGAACCCUAAAUGCAUUUGAGGGAGCCCUAGGUACAACAGAGUAA
rnacentral:lncRNA from 1 species